UUCUUUAUUAUUAUGUCACAAUACAAGCAUACUUUUUUGUUGCAUAAAAUACAUAGAAAACCUGAACAUUUGUUACAUUGUGCGACUAGACAAAGGAAAAGGUGGACAAACAUGACUGAAAAUAUAUGCACUCCCAUUAGCUUUUCUGAACUGUGAUUCCGCCAACUGCUACAUCUGAGCAUCAGAAAUGGGCUGCUUUUAUCACCUUUUCUGACUAGUAGGUUCAAACCCUAUCUGCUACAAACGCUUGGGAAAGUUUAACUAUAAUUAGAAAGGAAAAACGUGAGGGCAUAACAAAUCUAUUUCCAAAAAAAGACUAUACUGUUUACGCUAAUCCUUGGAACAUAAAACACAUAUAUAUACAUUUGUAAAUACUAUAUUAUACAAUAACUAACGGCAAGACAUGGUAAAAAAUAACAUUUAUUUUAGAAGGAAUACUAUACAAUGACAUUACCACUCACCAGUAUAGUACAUCCAAUAAUUCUUUAAAAUAUGCAAAGUAAUUUAUGUUAAACUAAAAGUUUGCAUAUCGAAUUAGGUUAACUAAACUAUUUCUUAACAUUGUCUAGUAUACAUCAUCAAGUCUCAGAAAGCCACAAGCAUAAGUUACAAACUAUACUAAUAACAGUUUCAACAUAGUAUAGACAAAACAUGUACAUCAACCUUCACAAUCACACGUUGAAACGGAAAAUAUAGUGUAUGUGCAAAUACAUAGGUACGACACUAAUAUUCUGUUCCAUAUAGUGUAUGUGAAAAUACAUAAAGAUAUUAUACCAUUAAAGUGUCUUGUAUAAUACAGUCCUUUUAGUUACAGUAUCACUACAAGAAAACACAAGUUUUACGAGGGCAGUUUUCCUCGUGACUUCGUCGUAAAAGCAGUGUUACGAGGAAUUAGCGAGGAAACCCGUUUCGUCGUUAUACGUUUGUCGUAACGCAUAUAUCCUCGCUAAUUCGUCGUAACAUAGCGAGGAAAUAAUUUCGUCGUAAAAGCAAAGAAAAAUAUUUCGUCGUAAAGACCACGUAAAGCUUCCACGUAAAGACGUCGCUAAAUUUCCUCGUAAAUACCACGAAAGACGUUCCUCGUAAAACCCACGUAAAUAACUCGAAAGUAAAUACUCGUAAAGUAAACGUAAAUACCUUGAUAGCUUUCCUCGUAAAGACCACGUGAACUUUCCACGUCAUUUCCUUGUAAACAAUUCCUCGUAAAAAC
rnacentral:lncRNA from 1 species